rnacentral:rRNA from 1 species
AUGGACGACUCCGCCCUGUUCAUGGAAUGGGCCAUGGACACGCUGGAGCAGGAGCACCCAGACCCAGUGGUGGCCGUCAACGGCGAGGCAGCCUUCCCCUCGCUUCAGGCGCUCUGUGAGCAGCGCCUCGUCUUCGAAGAGCUGAUUACGGGACCCAAUCCGGCAAGCAGCGGGAGCUCCGGCGAAACCACAGAUGGCAGCGGAUGUUUUGGUGGUAAUUUCUCGUGCCCGGCGGCCAUGGAGCAUGACAUCUGGCCCCCGUCCCCGCCGACCUUGGCCAGGUGCGCUCCAAGACUUUCCGGGAACGGUGGGGUUGGGGGCAUCAACCUUCCGGUGACGAGCUGGAAUUUCUGCGCCGCUUCCGCGCUGCCGGCCAGUGACAGUACACUGGACAGCGGCAACGCCGGGCCUGUCGUCCCGGAGAUGGUGUACGGGUCCCAGCCGACGAGGAGGGCCGCCGCAAGGAGCCCCACCGGCACCGGGCCCGUGUCGUCGGGGCCGCCUUACGCGCAGGACCAUAACAUGGCGGAGCGGAAGCGACGGGAGAAGAUUAACCAGCGCUUCAUCGAGCUCUCCACCGUCAUCCCCGGCCUCAAGAAGAUGCACAAGGCGACGAUCCUUUCCGACGCAACGAGGCACGUCAAGGAGCUGCAGGCGAAGAUCAAGGCCCUCGAGGCAGCCACCGGCCGCAGCAGUAGGAGCAUCGAGACCGUGGUGCUCGUCAAGAAGAAGCCGCGCCACGCCGCCGCCGCCGCCGUUUCAGACCAGAACGGCUCGCCCUUGUCGGCGUCGUCCUGUACGGGGAACCCGCUGCCGGAGAUCGAGGUGCGGUUCUCCGAGAACGGCGUGAUGUUGAGGAUCCUCUGCGACGACGUCCAGGGGGUGGUGGUGAGGGUGCUGGCGGAGGUGGAGGAGGGGCUCCACCUCACCGUCACCCACGCCAAUGUCAUGCCAUUCACGGCAUGCACUGUGAUCAUAACCAUCACGGCAAAGGUGGAUGAGGGCUUCACUGUUACAGCAGAGGAGAUCGUAGGAAGACUCAACUCUAUGCUGGAAUUGCAUAGCAGCUGCACUUCUACCGAAGAAAAAUGA